AAUAAUUCGACUACUUCAAGUGGCACUCUUCACCCCAGAGAAGCUGUUACAGGCAGGAUGCUCUAACUGAAGAUAAAUGGGUAUCUACAAAAGAGAACAAGAAUUAGGACAUCAAUCAAUGAGGUAGGAGCUAGCUGGCUGGAGGUGUUACUCUGGUUGCUG